CGAGCUCGUCUGGAUUCCCCACCAUGGCCUGGGCCCCUCUGCUCCUCGCGCUGCUCACUUACUGCUCCGGGUCCAACUCACAGCCCACCCUGACUCAACCAUCAUCAGCAUCAGUGUCUCCGGGAAACACCGUGAAACUCUCCUGCACCGUCAGCAGUAGCAUGAACACCAUAGCCUGGAUCCAACAGAAACCUGGGCAAGCCCCUCGCUUUGUGCUGUACGGUACCACUGACAGAGGCGAUGGGAUCCCUGAUCGGUUCACUGGUUCCACCUCUGGCAAUGUUGGUUAUUUAACCAUCACCAAUGCCCAAGCAGAAGACGAUGCUGAUUAUUACUGUAGCAUGUGGUACAGCAGUGGUAGCGUAGCUCACAGUGAUAGAGUCAGAUGGGGAACUGAGACAAAAACCUCCCUUCCCUCAGCCUGCAUUCUGGCACCGAUGCUCUGCAGAGUCUGGUUUACAACCGAGGCAGAGGAGAACGUCUUCCCCUGCAUGUAUGUCCAGGUGGGCUCUGGUUCCCAUCCCAGUAAAUGA